UAUAUGAUACAUAAUUUUAAUGAGAAUUAGCCCCACCCUUUUGCAUUAUCAAAAUCAAUGAAUAAAUUAUAAGGGUCAGAUGUGACUGGAUUAUGCUAUAUACUAUUGAAGUAUUGCAUAUACUGUGAGCCUGUUUGCUCCUGUUUGUCUCCAUUAACAAUGCCACAUUGGCAAUGACUAUGAAGGUAGCACUGGUAGCUAGAUUGCUGCUGUUUUUCUCUAGCUAGGAACCAUUUUUUUUGUCUUGUUAAUUCAUAGUUUUGUUCUUUGAGAGAGGGAUAGGUAGCAUUGUUAGCUAGAUUGACUGCUGUGUAAUUUAUGGCUCGUUUUCUUGCUUUGUUCUUGCACUUUGAGAGAAUAGUUUAUAUGAUGUUUAUUGCCUAGAGAAGAGGGGGGGUGUUGUGUAGGAGAGAGAUAGAGAUGAUGAAUCAUGGGCACUUUCUAUAUAUGGCUGCAUGGAUGAGAGAAGCACAAGAGGCGACAAAAUUGGUGGAGAACAUCGACAGCAGAAUAAAGAACAAAGACUUGGCUGAAGAAAUUAUGCUUAGAGACAUUGCUCAAUCUAAGCUCAGGGAAGCUGGAGUCAAACUUGAUUGCCUUGGAUCAUUUCUUCAUAAUCCUCCUUCAAAGCCUAACCUUACUUUUACAGAAGUAAAGAAGAUUCGGAUUUUCGAUGAAAAAGCUAUCGGAUUUACGGCUAAGAACAAGAGCACUGGCUCUCAAUCUCUACGCAUCCACAUCAACAAGGAGGUACAGUUGGUUUCAUGUCCUCAUUCCUCUUGAAUGUUAGCUGCGGAAUAAUGUAUGAGCACAAGAGGUGCAGGGGAGUGUGAGGGGCAGGAGAGGAGUGUGAUAAAGGUUUCAUGUCCUCAUUCCUCUUUAAAACUUCAGAGCUGCAAGCUUUCUCAUUCUAUCAGAAAAGGGGUCCAAGAUUCUGCGAGCAAUAUCUAUUCAUAUAAUUUUUACCCAUUUGACAUUUUACAAUCAGGGAGCUCCUUUACAUUGAUAAGAAUAGGGAGCAUUGUAUCAUUUUAUUAAAAAUCCAAUCAUUGUGAAUGCUGUCAGUUCAUUCUAGUGUCUUUGGGAAGCAUGUUAGGAAUACAUCAAAAGGAAAUUCUGUAAAUUAUGUCAAAAGGUAAUGCUUUGAACACUGUUCUAGCAAGGCUGAUUGUAAAUUUGAGAUGGACCACACCUUAAAGCUGAAAAGGAGUUGAUUAGGCUAUACAGAAAGUGAUGGUGGUUGAAGGAA